AAUAAAUGCAACUCCCCAUUCAAUUAUUAUAUGAUAAAAAUUAUUUUUAGUCAGAACAGCUGCAUUCUAUUCACAUAAUAAUUCACAUGGAAUUCUUAGCAAGGAAGAUAUUAAUUUAUAUAAAUACAUAAAUUUUUCUUGGCAGUCGAUGAACAAUAAUAUCUUCCAUCAUCGUUUAGAAAACCUGUGAUAACUAGGAUGCAUUCCUUCUGCUAAUCUUUUGAUAGAAUAUUGCUGCAUAUGGUUUCUUCCAAGUGUGAAUUACCCAUCGGACUCAUACUACCCAUAUUAUGCGGCAUCAUAGGACUCAUACCACCGAUAGAAGUAAGAGGACUCAUACCACGCA
rnacentral:lncRNA from 1 species